rnacentral:rRNA from 1 species
GAUGAACGCUGACAGAAUGCUUAACACAUGCAAGUCUACUUGAAGCUAGCUUCGGCUAGUGGAGGGUGGCGGACGGGUGAGUAACGCGUAAAGAACUUGCCUCACAGACUGGGACAACAUUUGGAAACGAAUGCUAAUACCGGAUAUUAUGAAUUUUCCGCAUGGAAGAGACAUGAAAGCUAUAUGCGCUGUGAGAGAGCUUUGCGUCCCAUUAGCUAGUUGGAGAGGUAACGGCUCACCAAGGCGAUGAUGGGUAGCCGGCCUGAGAGGGUGAACGGCCACAAGGGGACUGAGACACGGCCCUUACUCCUACGGGAGGCAGCAGUGGGGAAUAUUGGACAAUGGACCAAAAGUCUGAUCCAGCAAUUCUGUGUGCACGAUGAAGUUUUUCGGAAUGUAAAGUGCUUUCAGUUGGGAAGAAGCAAGUGACGGUACCAACAGAAGAAGCGACGGCUAAAUACGUGCCGGCAGCCGCGGUAAUACGUAUGUCGCAAGCGUUAUCCGGAUUUAUUGGGCGUAAAGCGCGUCUAGGUGGUUAUAUAAGUCUGAUGUGAAAAUGCGGGGCUCCACUCCGUAUUGCGUUGGAAACUGUAUGACUAGAGUACUGGAGAGGUAAGCGGAACUACAAGUGUAGAGGUGAAAUUCGUAGAUAUUUGUAGGAAUGCCGAUGGGGAAGCCAGCUUACUGGACAGAUACUGACGCUAAAGCGCGAAAGCGUGGGUAGCAAACAGG